GCUAAACGUAUCAACAUACCUAAUAAAACAAAAUGUAUUAAUUUACAACGCGCCUAAUAUUUUACUCGGGUUUACUUGAAACACUUGGCACAAAAAUCAAUCGAAAGAAUUGGAAAACUAAAAUGUUCCUAAAAAUUCUCUACUCUUUACUACUGCAAUACGGUGAUUUGCGUUUUUUCCGGCAUUUGUCUGUAUAUAGAUAUAUACAUAUCUUAUAGAAACGAUGGGCGAAUAAUUUAAUAACAAUUGAUGUCAUCUAGAGAGACGAUUGGAUUUGUCAGAGGACAGUUUUGUUGUUAUUAUUGUAUAUGUAUUAUACCGAUAACGUUUAUCAAUAUAACAUUAUAUUUUAUAAUAUCUUUGCGUAUUCGCUCAUUCCCAUUUAAAACUGAUGUUCAUGAGAAAAACACGGGUUUAAUUAUUGGUUUCCC